rnacentral:misc_RNA from 1 species
AACCAUUCUCACCUGCGGCUAGACCUGCGGAAGGAUCAUUACUGAGUCACGUGCUCAAACAACCCUUCUGUGGACCUGAAAUAAAACCGUUGCCUCGGCGGGCGGUCCCCCCCAAACCAACCCCACGUGGUGGGUUAGGGGAGACCAGACAGUCCGGUACGCUUAAGGCGUCCGGCGCCAGCCGCUGGCCCCAAACAAUUAAACUCUAGUAAUCUUUACCUUCUGAAUUCCAAUAUUUAA